GUUGAACGCUGGCGGCAGGCCUAACACAUGCAAGUCGAGCGAGCGGCGGACGGGUGAGGAAUGUAUGGGGACUGCCCGAUAGAGGGGGAUAACUACUGGAAACGGUAGCUAAGACCGCAUACUAUCGGAUAACCCAUAUGGGAUUAGCUAGUAGGGUGGGUAAUGGCUCACCUAGGCGACGAUCCCUAGCUGGUCUGAGAGGAUGAUCAGCCAAACUGGGACGGAGACACGGCCCAGACUCCUAGGGAGGCAGCAGUGGGGAAUAUGGCACAAUGGGCGCAAGCCUGAUGCAGCCAUGCCGCGUGUAUGAAGAAGGCCUUAGGGUUGUAAAGUACUUUCAGUCGGGAGGCGUUACCGACAGAAGAAGCACCGGCUAACUCCGUGCCAGCAGCCGCGGUAAUUC
rnacentral:rRNA from 1 species